UACGUAGGUGGCGAGCGUUGUCCGGAAUUACUGGGUGUAAAGGGCGUGUAGGCGGGAAUGUAAGUCAGAUGUGAAAUGCCGAGGCUUAACCUCGGAGCUGCAUCUGAAACUGCGUUUCUUGAGUGUCGGAGAGGAAAGUGGAAUUCCCAGUGUAGCGGUGAAAUGCGUAGAUAUUGGGAGGAACACCAGUGGCGAAGGCGACUUUCUGGACGAUAACUGACGCUGAGGCGCGAAAGCGUGGGGAGCAAACAGG
rnacentral:rRNA from 1 species